rnacentral:rRNA from 1 species
AGAGGACAUUACCGAGUUUACACUCCCAAACCCCUGUUGAACAUACCAAUUGUUGCCUCGGCGGAUCAGCCCGCUCCCGGUAAAACGGGACGGCCCGCCAGAGGACCCCUAAACUCUGUUUCUAUAUGUAACUUCUGAGUAAAACCAUAAAUAAAUCAAAACUUUCAACAACGGAUCUCUUGGUUCUGGCAUCGAUGAAGAACGCAGCAAAAUGCGAUAAGUAAUGUGAAUUGCAGAAUUCAGUGAAUCAUCGAAUCUUUGAACGCACAUUGCGCCCGCCAGUAUUCUGGCGGGCAUGCCUGUUCGAGCGUCAUUUCAACCCUCAAGCCCAGCUUGGUGUUGGGACUCGCGAGUCAAAUCGCGUUCCCCAAAUUGAUUGGCGGUCACGUCGAGCUUCCAUAGCGUAGUAGUAAAACCCUCGUUACUGGUAAUCGUCGCGGCCACGCCGUUAAACCCCAACUUCUGAAUGUUGACCUCGGAUCAGGUAGGAAUACCCGCUGAACUUAAGCAUAUAAUUU